AGAAGACACUGGGUUAACUUAGUGCUCUUUGAGGCCUUGUGCCAUCAGCCCUCCUGUCUCCUUAAGGUUUAUGAGAUUCUGGUGAUGGCUUUCUCACUGUGGUGGUCGGCCCAACCAGGCCCAGUUGUUCUGCUGGUAAGGAAAUAGCUGCUUGUCUCUUUGGAUCAAACUGGUCUAGGAGCUUCUUCAAUCCAGUUACUGGGACAGGCCAGCCUUAGAGGCUUCUCUGGCUCUUGGAACACACGGACGCACAGUCUGUGUGUCCUGGCUGUCAGCCGAGGAAGGGAGGCAGGCAGUGUAGAUGGUUAAGCUGUUACUUUAUACUCG
rnacentral:lncRNA from 1 species